UACGUAGGGGGCAAGCGUUGUCCGGAAUUAUUGGGCGUAAAGCGCGCGCAGGUGGUUCCUUAAGUCUGAUGUGAAAGCCCACGGCUCAACCGUGGAGGGUCAUUGGAAACUGGGGAACUUGAGUGCAGAAGAGGAAAGUGGAAUUCCACGUGUAGCGGUGAAAUGCGUAGAGAUGUGGAGGAACACCAGUGGCGAAGGCGACUUUCUGGUCUGUAACUGACACUGAGGCGCGAAAGCGUGGGGAGCGAACAGG
rnacentral:rRNA from 1 species